rnacentral:rRNA from 1 species
AGAAUCAACGCUGGCGGCGUGCCUAACACAUGCAAGUCGCACGAGAAAGUGGAGCAAUCCAUGAGUAAAGUGGCGCACGGGUGAGUAACACGUGAAUAAUCUACCUCCGAGUGGGGAAUAACUGAGAGAAAUCUUAGCUAAUACCGCAUAACACUUACGAGUCAAAGCAGCAAUGCGCUUGGAGAGGAGUUCGCGGCCGAUUAGUUAGUUGGCGGGGUAAUGGCCCACCAAGACGAUGAUCGGUA